AGCAUGCCCAAUGUAAGCACUGUCCUUUCAUCCUGAAUCCUGGACAAAGAGACUUAUGGAGCAGGUGUGAACCCAGUCUGCAUACUGGAGCCACAUGCAGCUUAACUGGCCAGGCUGCUCCGUCUAUCCAAGUGGGAGCUGCAAGCAAGUCCUGCCUCCUCUCCGCCAUCUUAACCCCUCAACCAGUAAAUGUUUAAAGACACAAAUCUCAAGCCCUCUCAGUCUCCACUCUUCAAAAGUCCGUCCUUUCCUGACUUUACGUGGCAGAAAGACAAUCUGCCUUGCAGCAAGUUUAUGGAUAACACGGAGUUCCCCUGCAAUGAAUAUGUGAACCCUCUGUUCUUCAGGAUAGCACUUGGGAUGAUGUGGAGUUGCUCAGGCCAGGACCUCCAGUACCAUACUGAAUUGAAAUGGUAAGUGAACAUCUUUGUCUUAUUCCUGGUCUUAGAGUAAAAGCUUUAAACUUUUACCAUUGAGUAUGAUAUUAGUU
rnacentral:lncRNA from 1 species